rnacentral:sRNA from 2 species
CAGGGGCAAUAUGGUGGGAUGCCUUCGGGCGCGGGGUCGGGGUCGGUAGAUGGGAGUAGUGGUGUGCCGACAGCCACUGCUACUACGGCGGCGGCGGCGGCGGCGCGGAGACAGCUACGCCAUGUGAAUGUAGCAAGGGGUCCGACGAACCUGCCGAGGAAGAGGAAGCGGGCAUCGACUAUCGCCAACGUUGACCCGGCGAUGACGGAUGACGUCCCGCCGGAAGGCCAGUAUGACGAUGACACUGGCAACGUGGACGAGGUUCUAGCCGCGGGCGGAAACCAGAACGGAAGCGCACACGCCCUGAGUAUCCGCGAGCUACCACCACAGCAAGCGUUAUCGGACGCACGCGCGGCAGGGGUCCACUCCGCCGCCGCGCUCUUCCGCCAACCCUCGGCCACCAGCAAGAAAUACACGCGCCCGCCGAUGUCGAAGAUGUUCUCGUCGCUGGGCUUGUCGCCGGAGAACUUCCUGUACUUACAGGCUGCGGCGAAGGCGUAUAUGCUUGACGAGGCGCAUCCGGAGAGACGCGAUUGUGUGGGCCAGAGGGGGAAGGGGGAUACAGAAAUGGUGA